rnacentral:tRNA from 2 species
GGGGGCAUAGCUCAGCUGGGAGAGCACCUGCUUUGCAAGCAGGGGGUCAUCGGUUCGAUCCCGAUUGCCUCCA